CCUACGGGCGGCUGCAGUGAGGAAUAUUGCUCAAUGGGCUUACGCCUGAACCAGCCAAGUCGCGUGAGGGAAGACUGCUCUCUGGGUUGUAAACCUCUUUUGUAAGGAAGCAAUUGGCGCUACGUGUAGCGUUAUCGAGAGUACCUGAAUACAUAGCAUCGGCUAACUCCGUGCCAGCAGGCGCGGUAAUACGGGGAUGCGGGCGUUAUCCGGAUUUAUUGGGUUUAAGGGUUGGGUAGGGGGAAUGCCAAGUCAGCGGUAAAAUCGCGGGGCUCAACCUAGCUCAGCCGUUGAAACUGGCGAGCUUGAGUGGGGGAGAGGAAAGCGGAAUGCGUGGUGUAGCGGUGAAAUGCGUAGAUAUCACGAAGAACACCGAUGGCGAAGGCGGCAUACUGG
rnacentral:rRNA from 1 species